rnacentral:rRNA from 1 species
GACGAACGCUGGCGGCGUGCUUAACACAUGCCAGUCGAACGGAAAGGCCCUGCUUUUGUGGGGUGCUCGAGUGGCGAACGGGUGAGUAACACGUGAGUAACCUGCCCUUGACUUUGGGAUAACUUCAGGAAACUGGGGCUAAUACCGGAUAGGAGCUCCUGCUGCAUGGUGGGGGUUGGAAAGUUUCGGCGGUUGGGGAUGGACUCGCGGCUUAUCAGCUUGUUGGUGGGGUAGUGGCUUACCAAGGCUUUGACGGGUAGCCGGCCUGAGAGGGUGACCGGCCACAUUGGGACUGAGAUACGGCCCAGACUGCUACGGGAGGCAGCAGUGGGGAAUAUGGCACAAUGGGCGGAAGCCUGAUGCAGCAACGCCGCGUGCGGGAUGACGGCCUUCGGGUUGUAAACCGCUUUCGCCUGUGACGAAGCGUGAGUGACGGUAAUGGGUAAAGAAGCACCGGCUAACUACGUG